UUUCAAAUAAGUAGUUAUAACCGGUAAAUUUUUACAUGUAAAUAAAUAAAUAAAUAAAAAUAACCUUGCAGCAGCAGCAACCAAAGGGAUGGUCAUCCGACUCUGACCCAAUCCCACAAGGCAUACUUUACCGCCAGCCCGAGUGGCGGUCAAAGCUGUUGACAUGGUUUUGUCAAACCCAACACAGUCAAAGCUAAUAUCCACAUUCUCACCAAUGAUUUUGUGUAUCUUUGAUAUCUCCUCACCUAGAUCCUGUCAUGAUUAUCCUAUUAUAAGCAGUGGCGGACUCAAAAAAAUAUUUUUAAGGGGUGCGAAUGACGGGUUUAACCGAAUUUUCAAGGGGUGUGAUCGGGAUUUUGCCCUAUAAAAUACACUAAAAAAAUUUCAAGGGGUGCGUCUGCCUGCCCACCCAGGGCUCUACCUAGCUCCGCCCCUGAUCAUAAGUAACACGCUUUUUGUUUAAAUUUAUGAUAUUUUUAAGAGAGGAAGAUGGUAAGGUUGAAUUUGGAGGUUCUUGAUUCCAAGAAGCCAAGCUGCCAUGUUCAUCAUCUCUUCCACUUGUUCAUUCUCUUCUGUGUGCAUCAUCUUUCUUCAAAAUAUGUGAUCUGAU
rnacentral:lncRNA from 1 species